AGCCCUAUGGGUCCUGGUCAAUGUGCCCUAUUAGAGCCCUAUGGGUCCUGGUCAAUGUGCCCUAUUAGAGCCCUAUGGGUCCUGGUCAACGAGCCCUCUGGGUCCUGGUCACAGUGCCCUAUUAGAGCCCUCUGGGUCCUGGUCAAUGUGCCCUAUUAGAGCCCUAUGGGUCCUGGUCAAUGUGCCCUAUUAGAGCCCUAUGGGUCCUGGUCAAUGAGCCCUCUGGGUCCUGGUCACAGUGCCCUAUUAGAGCCCUCUGGGUCCUGGUCAAUGUGCCCUAUUAGAGCCCUAUGGGUCCUGGUCAAUGUGCCCUAUUAGAGCCCUAUGGGUUCUGGUCACAGUUACCUAUUAGAGCCCUAUGGGUCCUGGUCACAGUUACCUAUUAGAGCUCUGUCGGUCUAGUCAUAAACUUGUAGCCCGUAUUGACUCACUGUGGCUGUAGCUAAACCUGCAUGGACUCCCUGAGUGGUUUCUAUUCUCUUCAGAUAAACAGAGAACCCUGGUGCAGUUGGAGCACACUGAAACCAAUGGGCCUUCGUCAAAUGUAGUGCACUAAAAUGGGGAAUAGGGUGGCAUUUUGACCACUAGCCUGAACAUCUGUCUCUGUUUGUACUGAGAACUGUCUCAUCCGUUUGCCCUUUCACUGUCUUACAACAUGUUGUUGAUCAUUUGCCUGGUCCCAGGUCUGCCUCUGGUUGCCUGGUCCCAGGUCUGCCUCUGGUUGCCUGGUCCCAGGUCUGCUAAGCUAACAAUGCGUGUUGAAGUCGGCAGGAUGGCCCACACACUGUUUCUCAGGACAUGUCUCUGUCUAGUUGUUGCACAUCGUUUCCUUUCGUUGCUCAAGCCAGCCUUGUGCCAUUCUCUUACCUAAUACCAAAGUUGCAGUGCCUGGAUUUACAAAACAUUUCUUAAGGUUUUCAAAACCCAGGCCCUGGUGUACUCAAUGCUCCCUGAGUCUCCGCCUGCUUCCAAACAGCAGUACAGGGGAAGUUGUGUUCAAAGUGAGGGGGAUGGGGGGGGUUCACCUUAACACUUGAACACGGUUAUAAUGCACCAAAUGUAACUAUUAAAUGGCUGUGCAUGUCCCGAUCUGUAGCCGACUGGCUGUGCUGACUGUCUGCUUCUGGCUCCAAUAACAUCACUUCUUCUAUUGUAGAUCCUUUAUGGGUCAAUUAGCAGGAUGUUGCAGUUUAGCUCCAGCUACAACUCUCUAUACCUACCAUAGCUAUACCUCUCUCUACCUACCUACCAUAGCUAUACCUCUCUCUACCUACCUACCAUAGCUACACCUCUCUCUACCUACCUACCAUAGCUAUACCUCUCUCUCUACCUACCAUAGCUAUACCUCUCUCUCUCU
ensembl:lncRNA